CAUGGAUACAGCUGGGUCCUAGACGUAGCUUCGGCUGAAUCCUGAGCAGGGCCACCAGGUCGAGGGGUCUGUGAAGUGCUCCUGGCUUUCAGGACUGAGAGCAGGACAAGCAAACUGUUGCCGGAGGAGGACGGCUUGGACUGACCAGGCGUGCUCCACCCUGCAGAUUCCUCUCUUCAGCUCCUGGAGCAAGAUGAGGGAGAGGACAGCAAGGCUGAUUGGUUCCAGACACACCUGAGCCAUUCGGAGAGUUGUGGUUAGGGGCCAUGUGACCCUAGAGUCAGCAUGCUUAGGUGUGAAACCAGCUCUGUCCCUCGUAAGCUAUGUGCAAGUGAUUUCCUCUAUCCUUGGGCUGAUAAUACUGGUUUCACGAGUUGUUGUGAAGUUUCAUGGAGCCCUUGGAAUAGGUCUGGCGUGCAGUAAAUACUCAAUGAACAUAACUACUCA